UUCAUUUGGGAUUGAUCUCAAGCAGACUAACUCAGCAGCAAUUAGAAUACACAGUCUGGCUGAUCAAAGCAGACGAGAUGAACCUUGUUCUCCUGAUCACCAUCACGUUUACUCUUGCCCUUGUUCGUGGGAACAAUACGCCUUGUGCGCUUAACCUUGACAACAAUGCGUACAACGUAUUUGUUGGGAGACACAUUGUUCACAACAACUUUAACAGAAACUCUAAGAGUGACUGGCAAAUGUACAUAAGGAACAGGGGACUCUGCGGCAGAUUUAACCAGUCCUUCUUCGAGCCCGGGUCUCUGGGAUACAUCCAGCAGAUCUGUCAAGGCAAUGGCCGCCAGCUGAUAAAUCCUAGAGUAGGUAAUUUAUGCAUCAGUCCCAAUACCCUGCCAUUUUAUUAUGUUGUGAUUGACAACAAUUGCGUAGUUCAAAGAUUAGCUUCUUACUUGAAUUAUGUUGUUGUGGCUUGUGAUAUGCUUGUGAACCAGUGCCUUCCUGUCCAUUUUGAGAGGUACACCGGCCAAAUGCCAGAUUUAAAUGUUCAUCCCUGCAAGUAAAUGCUACUUAGAAUAGGCCACAUUUUUGGAGGUUAGUAGACAUUGGAGUCCAGAUGACGGGCUCAUUAUUGGCCUGAAAUCUAAAACCUCUGUUGAGCUUAGCUAAACAACGCCUUUUUUGCUUACAUAAGAAAACAUUGUCAUUGUCAUUUUGUUCUUAAGCUACAAUACAUUCUCUGUUACA